rnacentral:lncRNA from 1 species
AGGCAAGGAAAGCUGUUUACCUAUUCUUGAAAUUAUGAUGUGAGCAUCUUUGGAAACCAUUAUUCUGUCUAGUGCAUGGUAAUACAAAUCAUUUAUAAAAGAUAAAAAUGCUAAAUUUAAGAGCAAAAUACUUUUUUCAAAACAUUUAUCCUUGAUACAGGAUGUUCAAGCUUUUUUCAAAUUAUCAUCCUUGAUAGAAGAUGUCCAAAACAGUAGUGAAGAUGUGAACCUGUUUUUACUUGUGGGAACCAGUUUAGGCAAAGACAAUUUUAUUUAAACUUAUCUUGAUGAGUUAGACUAGUGAAGAAAAACAGGACCGUGGCUUAUUUCAGGUCUUGCUUAUCCUAAGGGGAUGAUUUGUCACUUUGAAUAAUUACUAGAAGCAAAGGACAUCUAGUUUCCAGAAGAAAAAAAUGUAUGUGAAUGGAGUUUUGUAAAAUAUAGUUAAUUUCUCUUUCUGAAGGCCUGUGAAUAUGAACCAUCCUACUCAUGUGAGUAGGAUUCUUGCUGAAUCCUGACUGACCACUAAAGGAAACACUUAGCUCAGAUAAUUAUGUGAACAAGAAAAAAAUAUUAUUUCCCUGAAAAUAUUCCAUGUAACAUUUUAAAAAUGAUUCAACUAUAUCUUGUGAUUGGUAUUUUUGAAAACUGGCUGUUUCUCUACCACUGUGGCAACUCAUUGCAGCAUUUAUGACAUUCUGCAGAAU